rnacentral:lncRNA from 1 species
AAAGUUGCAGGCUGAGACAGCUUGGAAGGUGCUCAUGUUUUCUUUUGCGCACAGCAAGAGCUUCAGAAAAGACGAGUCUAAAAUAUGGGAUUUAUCCGAUUUUAGCAGCAGAAAAGCUAAUAAAUGUACAGUGCCCAAAGACAUUCCUUUAUAUAACGUAUAUCUCUUCAUAUUGUUAACAAAUCCACUGUAGCAAUACUCACAAAUGGAUAAUUGUAAUCCGGGUUCGAAUCCCGGCAGUGGAAUCCCGUUUUAUUUUUUAUUUUUUGAGUUGGGUUGUUUACUUCGGCCAUAAUAUAAAUGGGCUUCACAGCUUACAGUAAAAAUUAAAAAGAAUUCUGAAUUUUCUAUUAUAAAAAUAAAAUAAAUAGGUGAAAUGAUUUUUGGUUCAUGUGUUUUGCCUUGAUUUCAAUUUUGAUCACUCUCUUUUUGUUGUUUUUUUAUUGUUUUGUCAAAGUUAGGAAGGGUGCACACACACACUAUCAAUGUAUCAUGGAGGUUUGAACUUGAAAUCACUCAUCUGCAAGCAGUGACAGAUCUAGAAUUGUCGCCUCAUGGGGUUAUAUAUAGUGUAAAAGUUUCAAAUUUUUUUUCCACCAUAUUUAGAGGUUGCGCUGUGUAUAAAUUUGAGCUCUAAAAGUUUGCAUACCAGAUGGGUAAUUUCCUUUAAAAUCUCCUUAAGGAGAAGAGCUAUAGUUUAAGUAGGCCUUAUCAAUGGCCCGGGCCAGACUAGCCCGCCCCAAAUUUAAUGGACUUGAGCUGGGUUGGGCCGGACUUUAAAGAGAAGAGAGAAAAUAACGGGCUGGGCCAGGGCGGGUUGUUUUCUAAAAAUUCAAAACCAAGCUUGAAAAAGCACAUUUGGUUGGGUAGAGUUGAGCCCAAUGGGCUGGACUGAAAUGGGCCUACUUUAUUUUGUAUUUUUUUAAUAUUGAUUUUUUUUGUCAAUUCUUUAAUUUAUUUUUUUUCCUAUGCUUUGGUGUGUUUUUACGUUUCCUUUUUUUUCCUUUUUUUUUUCUUCAUAGUUCUCUAUUUACAUUUAUCUAUAUGUUUAUGUCUUCAUUUUUUUUCUUUGUUCAUUUUAUAAAUUCACAAUACAUAAAUUAAAAUUUAGAAAAAUACAACAAAAAUUCAUAUGAACUAUUGUAAUAUUCUCUUCACCGUAAAGCUUUAAAAGAGGACAUGGAAGGAAGAAGUGCCUUUUAAGUCUGAUGUAGCUCCAAAAUUAUUGAUAUGGCUUAAAUUCAGUUGUGGCAAGGUGUUUGAUGAAGCAUAUAUAAAUAUCAAAUGGUGUAGCAUAUAAUCAUUAAGUUGUUUAUGGCAUGGUAGAUAAGAUGUGGAAAUAGGAUGAAAGUGGUAGGAGUUCAAAACCCCUUGUGUGUGUCUCCAUUUCCUUUCAUUUUUAAACUAAAUUUAUAUUUCUAUAAAAUAUAUGGGCCCGCGGGCCAGGCCUUAAUGGGCUUUGCUGGCGGGGCAGGCCCAUAGCCGACAACGGUGGAGCCAGGCUUUUUCCCAAUGGGCCGGGCGGGCCCCCAUUGGCCCACAUGCCUGUGGGCCAAAUUAUGACUCCUAA